rnacentral:rRNA from 1 species
GGGCCCGCACAAGCGGUGGAGCAUGUGGUUUAAUUCGAUGAUACGCGAGGAACCUUACCAGGGUUUAAAUGCAGAACGACAGGGGUGGAAACACCCCCUUCUUCGGACGGACUGCAAGGUGCUGCAUGGUUGUCGUCAGCUCGUGCUGUGAAGUGUCGGGUUAAGUCCCAUAACGAGCGCAACCCCCAUUUCUAGUUGCCAGCGGUUCGGCCGGGGACUCUAGAGAAACUGCCAGCGUAAGCUGUGAGGAAGGUGGGGAUGACGUCAAAUCAUCACGGCCCUUACAUCCUGGGCCACACACGUGCUACAAUGGUGGGGACAACAGGUUGCCAACCCGCGAGGGUGAGCCAAUCCCAAAACCCCAUCUCAGUUCGGAUCGGAGUCUGCAACUCGACUCCGUGAAGUUGGAAUCGCUAGUAAUCG